GGAGCUGCAAGCUAUAAUGAGGAUGACUCAGAGGGAAGACAGCAAUGCCUGUCUGCGUGAAGGAAGCUUUAACCAAGCACCUACCAGGCCCCACCUUUUGCUGCCUCCACCAGACAAGAAGCAAAAGAAGGUGAUUCACCACGAUCCUCCUAUUAUAAUACCCAUCACAUCCAUUUUGGGAAGUUGAUCUAAGAGAGAAUGGCUGUCCCAGAAUCAUUCCCCAAAGAACACCCAUCUUGAGGAUAAACUAGAAUACCCUGCCUCCCACUUCUAGUCAACUGUGUUGCCAUUACCCUACAACUGGUCCUGGAGUGGAACUCAACUGGGGGAAUCUAUUUAUUUUAUCUUCACAAGAACCCUGUGAGGAAGGUAGU